UACCAGCAGACUGAGAGACAGCUUUUUCCAUCAGGCCAUCAGACUGCUGAACACGUCAUAGACACCUCACCCUCACUACUGGAACUUCAACAUUAUGCACUCCAUACUGUACAUAAUUCUCUACAGUAUUGAUUAGAGUUCAGGUUCACUUGUUCUACAGCUGAACUGCUGUAUGAAAAACAUUCUCACAACAUUUAGCCCUGUCAAAGCGCUUUCAAGGAAGUGGGUGUUAAAGUCUACAGUCAAUAUUUUUUAAUCACAUCACCUUCGGUUAACAUCAAGGUCCAAACAAUCAAGAACCUGAAUAUCAGAUUAGACUUAGAAACCAAGAUAAAAGUGUGGAGAAGGAAAGAAAUCAUCCAAAGCAUUAUCUAUCAAACAUGGUUCAGUUUUUUGGCAUUUUAUGGCUGCCAGUGGAAUCUGGCCAUUAGUGUUUAUUGAUGACGUGACUGUCGAUAGAAGUAGCAGGACGAAUUCUGAAGUGUAUAGGACUAUACUCUCUGCUCAGAUUCAGACAAAUACUGUGAAACUGAUUGGACAGUGUUCAUAGUGCACAUGAAUGAUGACCCAAAGCAUACUGCAAGAGUGACCCAAGAGUUUCUUGAGGCAAAGAAAUUGGAUAUUCUUCCAUUGCCAAGUCAGCGACCUAAUCUCAAACCAACAGAGUUGGCUCCAGCGUCCAGUUCAGUUGUGAUGACAGCUACGUACUACAGGGAUCCAAAAGUAUCACCUGUCAACGAGUCACUGACACACUGGCAGCCUGGAGUGACCACAGACCCAUCUGCAGAACUCGUACCUGUGGCAGUAACCUAAGAGGACCCAGAGGGGUCAUAACUUCUCCCAACUACCCUGUUCAAUAUGAGAACAAUGCCCACUGUGUGUGGGUCAUCACUGCAAUGGACGCUGAGAAGGUGGCGGAAUGGGGAAUAUGUCGAUGGACCGAAUGGGCUCCAGCUUUGACCGUUUGGGAAUGUCAGGAAUGGACAUGAACCAUGGCUUUGGUGGCUAUGGCGGCGGGGGCCGGGCCACAUGGGUGGAGGCAUGUCGGACAGAGGGUCAGGGUCCAAAGCAGGUUGCCAGAUAUUUGUGCGCAAUCUGUCCUAUGAUUUGACAUGGCAAAAACUGAAAGACAAGUUCAGUCACUGUGGUCAGGUAAUGUUUGCAGAAAUCAAGAUGGAGAAUGGAAAGUCGAAGGGAUGCGGAACGGUGAGAUUCGACUCUCCAGAGAGUGCCGAGAAGGCCUGCAGGAUGAUGAAUGGAACCAAGAUAAAUGGCCGAGAGGUGGACGUCCGUAUUGAUCGGAACGCCUAGAUCCUUUGUAGAAGUGAAGCUAACACGUACACUUUCAGUCCCCUUGCCAAUGAUCUUUUGUUUUGUUUUAAAAACAUAAUUACUGCAUAUCGUCACGUGUUCAAUGUUUCUUUCUUUCGUCCUUUUUUGUUUGUUAAUGUAAACUACAUAGCUAUUUUCUUUGUUUUAUAAACCCUUUUUAAUUUGUGAGACAGUUUAUUUGACCAAAUAAAGUUUGUAAUUUUUAAA